UACAGAGGGGGCAAGCGUUGUUCGGAAUUACUGGGCGUAAAGGGCGCGUAGGCGGCCUGUUAAGUCGAACGUGAAAUCCCCGGGCUCAACCCGGGAACUGCGUCCGAUACUGGCAGGCUUGAAUCCGGGAGAGGGAUGCGGAAUUCCAGGUGUAGCGGUGAAAUGCGUAGAUAUGCGGAGGAACACCGAUGGCGAAGGCAAUCCCCUGGGCCUGCACUGACGCUCAUGCACGAAAGCGUGGGGAGCAAACAGG
rnacentral:rRNA from 1 species